AUUGAACGCUGGCGGCAGGCCUAACACAUGCAAGUCGAGCGGAUGGAGGGAGCUUGCUCCUGGAUUCAGCGGCGGACGGGUGAGUAAUGCCUAUGAAUCUGCCUGGUAGUGGGGGAUAACGUCCGGAAACGGGCGCUAAUACCGCAUACGUCCUGAGGGAGAAAGUGGGGGAUCUUCGGACCUCACGCUAUCAGAUGAGCCUAGGUCGGAUUAGCUAGUUGGUGGGGUAAAGGCCUACCAAGGCGACGAUCCGUAACUGGUCUGAGAGGAUGAUCAGUCACACUGGAACUGAGACACGGUCCAGACUCCUACGGGAGGCAGCAGUGGGGAAUAUUGGACAAUGGGCGAAAGCCUGAUCCAGCCAUGCCGCGUGUGUGAAGAAGGUCUUCGGAUUGUAAAGAACUUUAAGUUGGGAGGAAGGGCAGUAAGUUAAUACCUUGCUGUUUUGACGUUACCAACAGAAUAAGCACCGGCUAACUUCGUG
rnacentral:rRNA from 1 species